rnacentral:tRNA from 1 species
AGAGAUUUAGGUUAACAUAAUAGACCAAGAGCCUUCAAAGCCCUAAGUAAAAGUUAAAAUCUUUUAAUCCCUG